CCUUCCGUACACUCAGGGAUAGCCUUUCGAAAGAAAGAUUAAUACCUGAUGGUAUGAUGAGAUUGCAUGAUAGCAUCAUUAAAGAUUUAUCGGUGUACGAUGGGGAUGCGUUCCAUUAGGUAGUAGGCGGGGUAACGGCCCACCUAGCCAACGAUGGAUAGGGGUUCUGAGAGGAAGGUCCCCCACAUUGGAACUGAGACACGGUCCAAACUCCUACGGGAGGCAGCAGUGAGGAAUAUUGGUCAAUGGACGAGAGUCUGAACCAGCCAAGUAGCGUGAAGGAUGAAGGUCCUACGGAUUGUAAACUUCUUUUAUAAGGGAAUAAACCCUCCCACGUGUGGGAGCUUGUAUGUACCUUAUGAAUAAGCAUCGGCUAACUCCGUGCCAGCAGCCGCGGUAAUACGGAGGAUGCGAGCGUUAUCCGGAUUUAUUGGGUUUAAAGGGAGCGCAGACGGGUCGUUAAGUCAGCUGUGAAAGUUUGGGGCUCAACCUUAAAAUUGCAGUUGAUACUGGCGUCCUUGAGUGCGGUUGAGGUGUGCGGAAUUCGUGGUGUAGCGGUGAAAUGCUUAGAUAUCACGAAGAACUCCGAUUGCGAAGGCAGCACACUAAUCCGUAACUGACGUU
rnacentral:rRNA from 1 species